rnacentral:rRNA from 1 species
AACGAACGCUGGCGGCAUGCCUAACACAUGCAAGUCGAACGAAGCCUUCGAGCUUAGUGGCGCACGGGUGCGUAACGCGUGGGAAUCUGCCCUUAGGUACGGAAUAACUCAGGGAAACUUGUGCUAAUACCGUAUGAUGUCGCGAGACCAAAGAUUUAUCGCCUAGGGAUGAGCCCGCGUUGGAUUAGCUAGUUGGUGAGGUAAAGGCUCACCAAGGCGACGAUCCAUAGCUGGUCUGAGAGGAUGAUCAGCCACACUGGGACUGAGACACGGCCCAGACUCCUACGGGAGGCAGCAGUGGGGAAUAUUGGACAAUGGGCGAAAGCCUGAUCCAGCAAUGCCGCGUGAGUGAAGAAGGCCUUCGGGUUGUAAAGCUCUUUUACCCGGGAAGAUAAUGACUGUACCGGGAGAAUAAGCCCCGGCUAACUCCGUGCCAGCAGCCGCAGUAA